rnacentral:rRNA from 1 species
CCUACGGGGGGCAGCAGUGGGGAAUUUUGGACAAUGGGGGAAACCCUGAUCCAGCAAUGCCGCGUGUGUGAAGAAGGCCUUCGGGUUGUAAAGCACUUUUUCAAGAUUGCCGGUACCGGAAGAAUAAGCACCGGCUAACUACGUGCCAGCAGCCGCGGUAAUACGUAGGGUGCAAGCGUUAAUCGGAAUUACUGGGCGUAAAGCGUGCGCAGGCGGUGAUGUAAGACCGAUGUGAAAUCCCCGGGCUUAACCUGGGAACUGCAUUGGUGACUGCAUUGCUAGAGUAUGGCAGAGGGGGGUGGAAUUCCACGUGUAGCAGUGAAAUGCGUAGAGAUGUGGAGGAACACCGAUGGCGAAGGCAGCCCCCUGGGCCAAACUGACGCUCAUGCACGAAAGCGUGGGGAGCAAACAGGAUUAGAUACCCUUGUAGUC